rnacentral:rRNA from 1 species
AAUCAACGCUGGCGGCGUGCCUCAGACAUGCAAGUCGAACGCGAAAGUUCCCUUCGGGGGAUGAGUAGAGUGGCGCACGGGUGAGUAACACGUAGGUAAUCUACCUUUGGAUGGGGAAUAACAACCGGAAACGGUUGCUAAUACCGCAUAAUGCAGCGGCACCUAAUGGUGACAGCUGUUAAAGCGGGGGAGUCGAAAGACCUCGCGUCUGAAGAGGAGCCUGCGGCGGAUUAGCUAGUUGGUAAGGUAACGGCUUACCAAGGCGACGAGUCCGUAGCCGGCCUGAGGAGGGCGGUCGGCCACACUGACACUGACAUACGGGUCAGACUCCUAC